AAAAUUCGAACCUGCGGCAGGUUCGGUGUUGAGCGCAGCGAAACAACGGAGCCGGUUACGGCGACGGCCCGAAGGGCGAGCGAAGCGAGUCAUCCUGCGCGACCCACCA
rnacentral:sRNA from 1 species